rnacentral:rRNA from 1 species
UGGGGAAUUUUGCACAAUGGGGGAAACCCUGAUGCAGCGACGCCGCGUGAUUUAGAAGGCCUUCGGGUUGUAAAAAUCUUUUCUAUGGGAAGAAAAUGACAGUACCAUAGGAAUAAGGACCGGCUAAUUACGUGCCAGCAGCCGCGGUAAUACGUAAGGUCCGAGCGUUGUCCGGAAUCAUUGGGCGUAAAGGGUACGUAGGCGGGUAAGCAAGUUAGAAGUGAAAUCCUAUAGCUCAACUAUAGUAAGCUUUUAAAACUGCUCAUCUUGAGGUAUGGAAGGGAAAGUGGAAUUCCUAGUGUAGCGGUGAAAUGCGCAGAUAUUAGGAGGAAUACCGGUGGCGAAGGCGACUUUCUGGCCAUAACCCGACGCUGAGGUACGAAAGCGUGGGUAGCAAACAGG